UACGUAGGGAGCGAGCGUUGUCCGGAUUCAUUGGGCGUAAAGAGCUCGUAGGCGGCUUGGUAAGUCGGAUGUGAAACCUCCAGGCUCAACCUGGAGUCGCCAUCCGAUACUGCCAUGGCUAGAGUCCGGUAGGGGCCCACGGAAUUCCUGGUGUAGCGGUGAAAUGCGCAGAUAUCAGGAGGAACACCGAUGGCGAAGGCAGCUCGCUGGGACGGUACUGACGCUGAGACGCGAAAGCGUGGGGAGCGAACAGG
rnacentral:rRNA from 1 species